CAGCAGCCGCGGUAAUACGGAGGGUGCAAGCGUUAAUCGGAAUUACUGGGCGUAAAGCGCACGCAGGCGGUCUGACAAGUCAGAUGUGAAAUCCCCGGGCUUAACCUGGGAACUGCAUUUGAAACUGUCAGGCUGGAGUCUUGUAGAGGGGGGUGGAAUUCCAGGUGUAGCGGUGAAAUGCGUAGAGAUCUGGAGGAAUACCGGUGGCGAAGGCGGCCCCCUGGACAAAGACUGACGCUCAGGUGCGAAAGCGUGGGGAGCAAACAGGAUUAGAUACCCGAGUAGUCCCUGUCUCUUAUAC
rnacentral:rRNA from 1 species